GCCAGAGUGGUGUAGUGGUUUGAGUUUUGGACUACAACUCUGGAGUCCAGGGUUCAAAUCCCUGCUGAGUCA
rnacentral:tRNA from 1 species